GACGAACGCUGGCGGCGUGCCUAACACAUGCAAGUCGAGCGGGAUCCAUCCAGUAGCAAUACUGGUGAAGAUCUAGCGGCGAACGGGUGAGUAACACGUGAGAAACCUGCCCCGGACUCUGGGAUAACACGAGGAAACUCGUGCUAAUACCGGAUACCUUCUUUUGGCCGCAUGGUCAGCUGAAGAAAGAUUUAUCGGUUUGGGAGGGUCUCGCGGCCUAUCAGCUAGUUGGCGGGGUAAUGGCCCACCAAGGCAUCGACGGGUAGCUGGUCUGAGAGGACGAUCAGCCACACUGGGACUGAGACACGGCCCAGACUCCUACGGGAGGCAGCAGUGGGGAAUCUUGCGCAAUGGGCGAAAGCCUGACGCANCAACGCCGCGUGCGGGAUGAAGGCCUUCNGGUUGUAAACC
rnacentral:rRNA from 1 species